GUGGGCCAGGCGAAGGUGCCAUAGCGCGCGGCCCAGGCGCUGCUGCUGCAGCAGGAGCUGGCCCGGGGGCUCCCCGGCGCCGCCGUUUACAGGCGAGCGCAGGCCCAUGUUCUCGAAGUAGUGAGCCAGGAAGGCGAUCGGCUCCUCGGGCCGCGCCUCCAGCACCUUCAGCAGGGCCGCACGUAGCAUUUCCGUCACGCCGACCUGCCGCAGGAAGUCCUCCUCGCUCUCGGCCGCCCCCGCCGCCCGGGAUACCGACUGGCGGCCGCUGUCCGUGAAACCGGCCGGCGGUGGUACCGCUUGCCGCCGCUUCUCCACUGCCGCCAUCUUCGCUGAGGGCAGCGGGACCGGAAGCACCGCCAUAUUCCACUGUGCGCUAGAGCCCCCCCAAGGCGGCCAUCUUGAUUAAGGGCAGAGGGCACCGGUAUCCCGCUGGGAGACUUUGGGAAGUGACAAGGGCUUGCCUCUCCUGCCUCAAUCUCCGCAUCUGGAUGAAGGGCUUGGACCAGAACCCCUCCAAGCCCCUUCCCUGGACCACUCUGUGGGAGAAGCCGGCAGGGGCUUCGGGAUUGGACAGAGCGUGAAGGGAGCACCGCCAGGGCACCGGCCCACAUUAAAUGUCUUCAUCCGAGCAUUCAGCAAGGGUUUAUUGAGCACCUGCUAUGCCCCAGGCCCUGUUCUAGCUUCUGUGGACACAGCCGUGCGCGACACAAGAUUCCCACCUGGGGAGCCACAGUGGGAGAAGGUCAUGGAAAAGAGAAUGUACGGGACUGGGGGAUGUCAGAUGUUAUCCAAGGUGUCAAGAAACGAAACAGAAGGGAAAGGGG
rnacentral:lncRNA from 1 species